UUUUAUGGAUGAGCAAAAAAGUUGUUUCUUGAGAUGGAAUUGACUCCUGGUGAGGAUGCUGUGAA
rnacentral:pre_miRNA from 1 species